AGGACGAACGCUGGCGGCGUGCUUAACACAUGCAAGUCGAGCGGAAAGGCCCUUCGGGGUACUCGAGCGGCGAACGGGUGAGUAACACGUGAGCAAUCUGCCCUUAGCUUCGGGAUAGCUCCGGGAAACCGGAAUUAAUACCGAAUAUUACUUCGGCUGACAUCAGCUGCGGUGGAAAGUUUUUCGGCUAGGGAUGAGCUCGCGGCCUAUCAGCUUGUUGGUGGGGUAAAGGCCUACCAAGGCGACGACGGGUAGCCGGCCUGAGAGGGCGACCGGCCACACUGGGACUGAGACACGGCCCAGACUCCUACGGGAGGCAGCAGUGGGGAAUAUUGCGCAAUGGGCGAAAGCCUGACGCAGCGACGCCGCGUGGGGGAUGAAGGCCUUCGGGUUGUAACCCCUUUCAGCAGGGACGAAGCGAAAGUGACGGUACCUGCAGAAGAAGCGCCGGCUAACUACGCGCCAGCAGCCGC
rnacentral:rRNA from 1 species